AUAACCUACAGUUGACAGAUUCAAGUGAAGAAAGUGAGGUCGGAGCGGAGCGUGAGGAGGUCGGAGCGGAGCGUGAGGAGGUCGGAGCGGAGCGUGAGGAGGUCGGAGCGGAGCGUGAGGAGGUCGGAGCGGAGCGUGAGGAGGUCGGAGCGGAGCGUGAGGUCAAUGAAGGAAAUCUUGUAUAUCCACAGAUUGAUUCUAUAGAUACUAGAAUGAUGAAGAAAGUUGUCAAGGAACCUCCAGCACAAAGUAAAAAUGGAGCGGGUAAGGUCAUUGAACCCAACAGAAUACUAAACAAGGAGAUGAAGCCAAGCAGUAAGAAGAAAACAAAUGAACAAUCUGCUUCUCUGGAAAAUGCAAGGAGGGUCAAAAAGCAUCCUUGGUCUCCCACGGAGGUUGCUGCGAUAAUGAAGUAUUUUGGCGAACAUAUCAAAAAAGGAAAACUGGCCACUAUUAUCGAAUGCCAGCAAUGCAAAACUGCAGAAGAUCCUGCUCUGGCUGGUCGUUCUAUUCAAAACAUCAGAGAUUUUGUGAGGAAUCGGG
ensembl:lncRNA